rnacentral:rRNA from 1 species
UACGUAGGGUGCGAGCGUUAAUCGGAAUUACUGGGCGUAAAGCGUGCGCAGGCGGUUGUGCAAGACAGAUGUGAAAUCCCCGGGCUUAACCUGGGAACUGCAUUUGUGACUGCACAGCUAGAGUACGGCAGAGGGGGAUGGAAUUCCGCGUGUAGCAGUGAAAUGCGUAGAUAUGCGGAGGAACACCGAUGGCGAAGGCAGUCCCCUGGGCUAGCACUGACGCUCAGGCACGAAAGCGUGGG